rfam:Phanerochaete carnosa HHB-10118-sp unplaced genomic scaffold PHACAscaffold_4, whole genome shotgun sequence.
GGGCACUUGGCGCAGUGGUAGCGCGCUCGCUUUGCAUGAUCACGUGAGUCGGCUUGCGAUAGGUCGAGGGUUCAAUCCCCUCAGUGUCCA